UUGGCCGAUCGACCAAACCACCGGAUCGUCUUCAACCUCCCUAACGUACUUACUGAAGCCAUGGCUGCACCUUUCCCCUUCUCCCCUAGAACAUUCUAGAUACCGAAACGCCUCACUUUAAACACGAAAGUUACUCCUCUUCCAUCCACGGUUCAAUUCAGGGCAUUAAAAUCUGUUUUAGUGCACAGUAAAAUCGCCAAUUUUGGCCAUCAAGACCAUUACCGUUUCGGCCGAUUCCGUUCGUCUCCCGUCGAUCUACUCCCUUCCCCUGCGUAUAAAGCUACCCCGACCUUCCCCAUCGCAUAUCACACCCCUCCACCACUCCACGCCCCCAGGCUGCCCCUUUAGAGGGAGAAUUUCUUCACCGAACUCGCCGGCGGCCGCACGACGCCCAUGUCCGCGGCGAGUCCGAGGUCACCCACGACGAGUAUCCAAAGCCGCCGACACUAGACUACUGGAGCCGUGCGUCACCAUCUUCAGGAGCUUCUCCGAUAAUUCCUGAGAGCAUCUUCAUGCAAGAAACAGCGUAUUCCUCUUCCUCCUAGGCACCGGUGACCCCACGCCGUUCACCAUAGUGAGACACGACCUCUGCAACAGCCUCUGCCAAAAAUCCCCGAUUUCACGAAGAGUGACGGGAUAUUUUAUCAAGGAAGUAAUUAUCGGUAGCUAUGUUGACAAGAUAAUUAUUCUUCAUUUAUAG